GGACAAAACAAGUUUCCUAUACCACAACUGGAAGGAUAGAGAAAUGGUUAGCAUGGGACCUGUGCAAGGAUAACAUACAGAUCCCUGAAUCAUCCCCUAGUUUU